CAGUCGUACCGACGAUAAAUCAGCUCCUUGAGUGCGGACUUGUGGGCGUGCGUGAGCUUUAAAACCUCGCUGUUUGCAACGUUUGUACUUUUUGGGUGUACUUUUUCGUAUGGUAGGCCAACGUCAGUUUCGAUUACCAUAAAAUGACUGGAGGAAUGUGGCUUCGAUCUCGUAUUGAAGUGUUAUAGCCUUUGGUAGAUGUGAUGUUCGAGACCGAGGAUUGCAACGGAUACCCUUCUGGGCUAUUCGUCUGAUCUCUGAUACGUUGCCUUGGUGUCGAAAGCUUGCUUAUGAUAUUAGGGUAUUACGGUCAAAAGGUUAGAACGGAUUAAA
rnacentral:rRNA from 1 species